CACAAACUCCGAAGCAAUCUACAUCUCUUAUAUAGGUGCCGUUAGAUCUUUGUAUCGACACUCGCAGUAACCUAGUUUCUAUCUUCUUUGAGCAAGGACGCCGACACUUCUCUUCACACCGGGAAAUGUAAAACAUUUGUAAACUUGCUACGACAUACAAAUAGAAAAUUAUUCUCUUCAGUUUUCUGCUCAGUUGUUUUGACCUCAAAUCUCAACCUCGCCGGCUUGCCGCUGCUUCUUGGUGUCGGCAGAUUCGCCGUUCACGCUCUACUCAGUACUCCCUCCUUCAUAAAUGGCAAAAAUGACGACAACAGUGAACGACUUUGGGGAACGUACAAGGAGGUGUUUUAUCAAACAUACUCAUCAUGUUCUUGGCCAAAGAGUUUUCUACACAUGGCAAUGAAGAUGACAAGUCAUAGCAAUCUACACAAACUUUGUCUUGAUGGAUGAAAAUCUUUUAGUGAUUAACUCCCAGGAACCCUUUCUUAUGCUAUAAACCUCAACUUGCAGCCACUCUUUUACAACAAUACCUAAAUAGGCUGCUAAUAUCGGGUCCGGUGGUUCGAGAAGGCUUGUAAGCUUAACAACUUUGUAAUCAUUAAUUUUGGUUUCAAACCGGGGAAAAUAUUUUUUGAUCGAAUAAUGAUCAUGUGAGGGCAUGUAAUAUUUUGGUUUGAUACCAAAACUGAUGAUUGCAAAGUUGUUAACCUUGCAAACUUUCUCGAACCAUCAAUCCAACAUGGACCCGACAUUAGCAUACUAUUUAGGCAUAAAGGGUGGCUGCAAGUUGAGCUUUAUAGCACGAGAAAGGGUUCCUGAGAGUAAAUCAUUGGAAGGUUUCCAUUGAAUCUCACAAGGAUUUACUAUUAAGAUGAAUUUGUGUAGAUGAGCUCAUUGGCUUGGUUAUACUUUGAUUUGGAGUUGGAGUGAGAAUUCAGAUCUAUAUGUUUUUUCUGUUUCUAUGAUGUUAUGUUGUCAUUUUUGCGUACUUAUUCUGUCUUUUGUUUUAACUAUUUUAAAGGAUGCUAAAUUUCUUGAUUACGUUAUAAUGCUUUAUAGUUUAUAUAUUCCCAUGGCCUGUUUAUCAUUCAACUUUCGCAUACGAGCUCCGUUUUUGACGUUCUUUAUAUCCACGCGAAGGUCGGGACAGGAUUGGGCCGUUAAAUCCUCAUAACUUCUUCAUCCGAUAUCCGUUUUCGUCCAUCUUUUUCUCGUUACGCUACUCUUAACGAGAUCUUCGAUUCUCGUUCAGGUCGUGUCGGCUAAAAAUCACUCUAUCUAAUAUUCGAAUUUUGGGCUGUACACUGCUAACUCGAAACUUCGAAAAAUCACAACUUCUUCAUACGAAUACGAAGUCAGAUUUGGGCGUUCUUUUUAUCGAUGUUCUUAGUUUAA